CAGUCGCCGCGGUAAAACGUAGGGUGCAAGCGUUAAUCGGAAUUACUGGGCGUAAAGCGUGCGCAGGCGGUUAUAUAAGUCAGAUGUGAAAUCCCCGGGCUCAACCUGGGAACUGCAUUUGAGACUGUAUGGCUAGAGUGUGUCAGAGGGGGGUAGAAUUCCACGUGUAGCAGUGAAAUGCGUAGAUAUGUGGAGGAAUACCGAUGGCGAAGGCAGCCCCCUGGGAUAACACUGACGCUCAUGCACGAAAGCGUGGGGAGCAAACAGGAUUAGAGACCCCUGUAGUCCCUGUCUCUUAUAC
rnacentral:rRNA from 1 species